AAGACUAUACUUUCAGGGAUCAUUUCUAUAGUAUGUUACAAAUGAACCUACCUGCACUGCUGGUGGUAAUGUAAAUUAGUCCAACCCCUGUGGAGAGCAGUUUGGAGAGCUCUCAGAAGGU
rnacentral:snoRNA from 1 species